rnacentral:lncRNA from 1 species
AUUUAAAACACAGUCCUAAUUGAUCUCAGCUGCAACUCUUCAAGUGCUGCCAAUCUGCCUGUGAGUGCCCAAGCGCAGGCAGCUGGAAAGCAGGAGCGGUCCCGCAUGAGGUGAUUGCUCACCAAGUAUUACAGAGGAGAUCUGGGUCAGGGAUGAGCAGAAUUCCAUUCUCAGAGGUUGCACUUAAGGGCUGAACUGUGAGAUAAUCGCUUUUUCUUCUGCCAUCCUCCUUAUUCAGUGUGUCCUACAGACGAGUGCCUGCCUCUUUCAUUACCGUUUGAUGUGGAUCCAGCAAGAGUAGCAGCCCUGCAAAGCAACCGCAGUUUGCUUGGUUCUCUACCACUGAGGAGGGAAGGUCUGAAAGGAGGAGCUUCUUCACAUCAAUACUUAGUUUGUGUGCCUGUUGCCAACCAUGCGCUGGGUUUCUCUGAAACAGCACUAAGGAGAGUGGGAAAGACAGAAGAUAAUGAAACAAAUAGUUCAGUAACGAAGAGAAGAAAGUUAGAAG